rnacentral:lncRNA from 1 species
GCUCCGCCCUUUACAGCCGGCGCAGCACGGCGCCGCGGGCGGCAUGAGCACCGCCUUCGUUCCGCCUCUCUGCCGGCCGCCCCGCGCAUCAUACCAUGGUCGGGUUGAAGAGCGUAGUGCUGUAGCUUCCCGGGGGUCUGGAGUACCGUGAGGGGACCAGUGAAAUUACCACAGUGUUAACUUGUAGCUUCCCACAGGGGCUUGUCAGGCAUCUUUAAUCUAAAGAAAGAAUUACAGCAAAGAACUGUGUAUUUACUAGACAGCUAACACAAGUACAACAUUUUAUAACUGGCUACUUCACCCUUGGCCUGGACUUCCUGCGCAGAACUUAUUGUGGUUGGUUUUACAGACAACUUUGUCCCUCCCUUUCCACUGGAGUUUUUGGAGUUCUCCCAGCCACAUGCAUCUUUGUUCCUCGGUGUGUAUGGCCUGUAAUCACAACUUAACAGAUAAACCAAGGAAAGAACAAAGGAAAUAGUUUUUACCUGCUGCAUUCCUCUUGGUGCCACCUGUUAUUUUGUCCAGCCAAAGAAAGAAAGAAAGUCCUAUUUAGGUUAUUGUUCUGAAGAAUUGGUUGCUAGGAACAGUGGUCUGCCUCCUUGCCAGGAACCAAGAAUUUGUUUUCUUCCCAGAAGAAAAGCUGUUAUUUACUUGCUCAUAAUACGUGCUUUGUCUGCAUCACUGCUGUUUGGAUCCAUUUAUAUGUUAGGUGUUUUUCAAGUAAAAAUUCUUUCCAACUGAUAAUCUGUUGAGGCAAGUGGAUGGACAUCACCUGCUUAGAAAUAUCAUAGGAAGGCAAUACGUUUUAAACUUAAAAUUGAAUAAAGGCUGGCUCCUUGCCUUAUGACUUUGUGUC